rnacentral:rRNA from 1 species
AUGCAUGUCCAUGUCACCCUGCAGCCCAAGACCGGUUACUCACUGAAGCUAAGCAGGGCUGAGCCUGUUCAGUACCUGGAUGGGAGACCACUAGGGAACACUAGGUUGCUGUUGGAA